rnacentral:rRNA from 1 species
AACCUCCGCAAUGUGAGAAAUCGCGACGGGGGGAUCCCAAGUGUCAUUCUUAACGGGAUGGCUUUUCAUUAGUGUAAAGAGCUUUUGGAAUAAGAGCUGGGCAAGACCGGUGCCAGCCGCCGCGGUAACACCGGCAGCUCUAGUGGUAACAAUUUUUAUUGGGCCUAAAGCGUCCGUAGCCGGUUUAAUAAGUCUCUGGUGAAAUCCUGUAGCUUAACUGUGGGAAUUGCUGGAGAUACUAUUAGACUUGAGACCGGGAGAGGUUAGAGGUACUCCCAGGGUAGAGGUGAAAUUCUGUAAUCCUGGGAGGACCGCCUGUUGCGAAGGCGUCUAACUGGAACGGUUCUGACGGUGAGGGACGAAAGUUAGGGGCGCGAACCGGAUUAGAUACCCGGGUAGUCCUAACUGUAACGAUGCGGACUUGGUGUUGGGGUGGCUUUGAGCUGCUCCAGUGCCGAAGGGAAGCUGUUAAGUCCGCCGCCUGGGAAGUACGGUCGCAAGACUGAAACUUAAAGGAAUU